GCAUGCAACUGCCCUAAGAGACUAAGUAUCUCGGAAGCUACUGGAGUUUAGCGAGGUAGGUCCUGGUUGUUGUCUAUGAGCACCCAUCAGCACCCUGAGCUUGUGCAGGAGCGCAAGGUAAACUAUGAGACCAGCGGCAAUAGAUAAACCCAGGCUGUUACUGAUGGAAAACUGACCACAGUGCAACAACUGACAAGGCCUUUCUCUCUCUCUCACCAGCGCUGCCCUUUCUCUUGCUGCCUACUGUUUCUAACCCAUCCCCCCGCCCCUGAAGCACAGUCCUCCCUGCUUUUUCUAUACCUUCAGAUUGAUUGUUGAAGGGAAAAGACAAAUGGAGUUUGUUCAACCAAUUACUUUAACUUUAUAUACAACUCAAACCCAUAGACGUUUGGAUGAGGAUCUCUCAAGGAUUUCCCCGUAGAAUGAAGAGCACAAGUUAACCUUUAACAACCAUCAGAAACUCUUGGGAGGAGUUAACAACAAAAACAAAAAGUCCUCAUGCUUGUCUCCUGCUCCCCAUUCUGGAGACGCCAUGCUAUGGGGAGCUCUCCGGAUAACUCUGCACCCUGCCAGAAAGCACUCUAUUAUGCUGUGAUUUUUUUGGGGGAGUUCUGGACAAGUGGACCUGUGUGACCCUGACCUAACUAAAAGAGAACAAAGAAAUAGACUGUACUGAAACCCUGGCUGAGGGUGCUGGGGAACUCUUCCCCUUUGGUGAGAUUCUCCCUGGAGUAUCAUCAACAUUUGUCCAGAUGCUGCUGGAGUCUGCGCCUGGAUACCAAGGAUCUUUUCCUUCCCAUUGCUUCCAAGCUGCUGAGCCAUGAUUUCUUCCUUGUCUCUCCAGUUGGCAGCACAUCUCUUUACAGUAGAUUGCUCUUCAGUUCACAGAUAUCAUAUCGUUCUCCCAACGAAAUAAGUCAAGCAAUCAGAGACUGUGGCUAAUACUGAAAAACUCUAUCUACAGAUGCUUGUUUCAGAACCAAUCAAACAUUGUUAUAUACUUUCUGAGACAAAAAUCUUUGUGAGACAAAUGAAUUCCAUGCACAGGCCAAUGGCCCAUUUCUUUGGAACAAUACUCUAAGCACAGGAAAAUUCUAAUUAAAAAAAAAAAAACUAAAACAAAAACCAAAAAACAUUAGUGUGGUGAAUUUCCAGAAGACUACGGUAGCCCUUCAGAUUUUGUCUUGAAAAGACUGAUCCUAGAUUAGCAGACAAUGGGGAGUUGUAAAAGUACACUUAUUGUACUAACA
rnacentral:lncRNA from 1 species